rnacentral:rRNA from 1 species
UACAGAGGGUGCGAGCGUUAAUCGGAAUUACUGGGCGUAAAGCGUGCGUAGACGGCUAUCUAAGUCGGGUGUGAAAAGCCCCCGGGCUCAACCUGGGAAUUGCAUUCGAGACUGAAUAGCUAGGGUGCGGUAGAGGGAAGCGGAAUUUCCGGUGUAGCGGUGAAAUGCGUAGAUAUCGGAAGAACAUCAGUGGCGAAAAGCGGCUUCCUGGACCAGCACCCGACGUUCAGGCACGAAAGCG